AUUUCUAUAACUAUCUUUUUUUUCUUGUAUAGGCCCGUUUUAUUGCUCCCCCCAGUAGAUCUGUGCUGCUUAUUUGAAUUUGUGUUAACAAAAUUAAUAAGUUACUGUGUUGUUUGUUUUUUGCCUCCAGAGUUAUUGCUGGGGCUCUGUGCCUGCUCUACAAAUCCGCUGUCUGGAGACCAUCUUUUUUUCCAUUGUUGUUGUUGCGGUUAUUGCUGCUGCUGUUGUUAGAUAGGACAGAGAGAAAUUGAGAGAGGAAGGUAGUGAGGAAGAUAGACAUCUGAAGACUUGCUUGCAGAGCGAUCACUUUUGAAGCGACCCCCCUGAAGGUGGGGAACCGGGGGCUCGAACAAGGAUCCUUGUGGCACUGAGUUACUGUGUUCUAAGGGAGAAAGUUGGGGAACAUAGUUCUUUGAAAUGUAAUAGCUGCACUGCUUUCACAAAAAUGUGUUGAUAAUUGUAUAUACCAUGGCUUUGAUUCUCUUCUCCUUGUAACACAUUUGAAGGGAUAUUUAGGCUGCCAGAUAUUACAGUAAUGCUAAAUGAGUUCCUGGAGACAUCAAAGCCAGGUAUCAAAAACCAUCUAUGUUUUGUGUGCCUGUGAAAUAUUUCUAGUGGCAGCAAACAUACCCCAUCUGUCAUGUCUGUCUCAAGCCUAAUAACAGUCUAAAUCCUGUCCAGACUAUAUGAUCUUUAUCCCUAUGAUUAUGACCUUCAAUUUUUGGAAUCAUUUCCUUUUUUACAUUACAGUAAUAAAAUAUGAGGAUCUUAUUAAUUGUGUCUGCCUAGUUGGUUAGUGUGGGUGUUAAUUUGUUUGAGGUCACAGGUUUAUCCUAGUAAAAACUGUUACCUCUUAAAGGUAGGAAGCCAAGGUUCGAAGUCUAACCCAGGGUUAAAACUACACAGAGUAGCAUUCAGAAAGCUUUAUGCUUGAUUGACCUUUGCUACAGCCUGAAUUAUAUCUUUUAUUUACAUCAUCUCCCUCUUAAAGGUGCUACAUUUCCUACAGUUUUGUCUCAGUUGAUGGCACUAUUAUCUACUCACACAAAUGAGAAAUGGGGGAUGCAGCCAGAGUUUUUUUCUCUUUUUUUUUUUUUCCUUUUCUACUGGAAAGAGCACUGCUCAGCUCUGGCUCGUGGUGGUGAUUGAACUUGAGACUUUGCAGCCUCAGGCAUGAGAGUCUCUUUAUAUAACCAUUACGCUGUGUACCCCUGCCCAGCCAGAACUUUUUCUACACCCUCCAGCCCCAUGUGUAGUCAUCCUCUGUGCAGUUAGAUUUUAAUUCUUUAAUACUGCUCAAACCAUCUCUACUGUUACCUCCCUAGUUUAGCAUUUGUCUUAUGUGCCAUUCUAAUAGCUACACAGUUAAGCAUAAAAUAUUAAUAAAUAUGCUGUUAUAUAGAAAGCAAGUAUCUAUUUCCUUCCAACUGCCCCCCCCAAUCAAUCCUCUGUACCACUAUUGUUGAAGUGAACUUCAUAAAAGGCAAGCCUGAACCUUGUUGUUAACCCACCAGUCGAUCCACUGUCUGCAGAAUCAAGUCUUGACCUCUUGACCCAAUAAGUAAAACUCUUCAUUAUCUGCUUCUGUCAAUCCAUGUAGCCCAGCGUUGUAUCUUAUCAUCCCCUCACAUGCAGACACACUGACCUCCCACAUGAAGUGCAUGUGCUACACACUCAGGUCUCUUAUGCCCUGCUUGGUUAGUUUCAGUACAUGUCAGCCACUCUGGCAUUCUGCCUCAUUGUCUGCUGACUUCCUGGCCAAAUGUGGCUCUCAUUUCUUCCAGGGUGCCUCUGUUGAACACCUUUCUUGACCCUUUUCCUAACAGAAAUGGGCUCUGUGUCUCAAGUAUCUCCAGACCUCCUUUGUUCCACGUUUCACUCUGUACCACCAUUUGUUGGUCUCUGUCUUUUCCCAUGGAAUGGCAUUUUGACUUUUCCAUCCUCUUAUCCCCAGCUCAUAUGACUGUGCCUAAUCAGUGUGUUUAUUUAAAGUUUUUUUUUUUACUGGGUUUUUUGUUUGUUUUGUUUCAUUUGUCACAUUUCUUUCUUGAUUUCUAGCAAUAACAGGAAAUCACCUAAAAUGAUUAUUAUGUUAUUUGUUGAACUCUCAAAUGAAUAAUUCCAAGCACUUAUUUAUCUGACAGAUUUUAUUCUUCAAUUUUCAUCUAGCAACUAAAUAGUUUUAGUUUCCAUCCCAGCACCAUUUGCCAUUUAUAGUGUAGACCCUUUAAACUUUCUCUUUAGUAUCUGAAAUAUACGUAGAAUAAAUUAUGGUGUGUAGGGAUUAUUUUCUGACUUAGUGUGGGUGUUGGUGUUUUAAACAAUGAUAACAUGUUGGAAAAUGUUGACUUAAUUUGGUGUGUCAAGAUAUUUGUUGAGGGGAGUCGGGCGGUGGCGCAGCGGGUUAAGCGCAUGUGGCGCAAAUCGCCAGGACCUGAGUAAGGAUCCCAGUUCAAGCCCCCGGCUUCCCACCUGCAGGGGAGUCGCUUCACAAGCGGUGAAGCAGGUCUGCAGGUGUCUGUCUUUCUCUCCUCUCUGUCUUCCCCUCCUCUCUCCAUUUCUCUCUGUCCUAUCCAACAACAACGACAUUAAUAACCACAACAAU